GGGCCCUUAGCUCAGCUGGGAGAGCGCGUCGCUGGCAGCGACGAGGUCGUCGGUUCGAACCCGAUAGGGUCCACCA
rnacentral:tRNA from 2 species